rnacentral:rRNA from 1 species
UACGGGGGGGGGCAAGCGUUGUUCGGAAUUACUGGGCGUAAAGGGCUCGUAGGUGGCCAACUAAGUCAGACGUGAAAUCCCUCGGCUUAACCGGGGAACUGCGUCUGAUACUGGAUGGCUUGAGUUUGGGAGAGGGACGCGGAAUUCCAGGUGUAGCGGUGAAAUGCGUAGAUAUCAGGAGGAACACCGGUGGCGAAGGCGGGUCUCUGGGCCGAUACUGACGCUGAGGAGCGAAAGCGUGGGGAGCGAACAGG